rnacentral:rRNA from 1 species
AACGACUCUCGGCAACGGAUAUCUCGGCUCUCGCAUCGAUGAAGAACGUAGCGAAAUGCGAUACUUGGUGUGAAUUGCAGAAUCCCGUGAACCAUCGAGUCUUUGAACGCAAGUUGCGNCCGAAGCCUUCCGGCCGAGGGCACGUCUGCCUGGGCGUCACGC